AGUGAACGCUGGCGGUAGGCCUAACACAUGCAAGUCGAACGGCAGCACAGUAAGAGCUUGCUCUUACGGGUGGCGAGUGGCGGACGGGUGAGGAAUACAUCGGAAUCUACUUUUUCGUGGGGGAUCACGUAGGGAAACUUACGCUAAUACCGCAUACGCCCUACGGGUGAAAGCAGGGGAUCUUCGGACCUUGCGCGGAUGAAUGAGCCGAUGUCGGAUUAGCUAGUUGGCGGGGUAAAGGCCCACCAAGGCGACGAUCCGCAGCUGGUCUGAGAGGAUGAUCAGCCACACUGGAACUGAGACACGGACCAGACUGCUACGGGAGGCAGAAGUGGGGAAUAUUGGACAAUGGGGGCAAGCCUGACCCAGCCAUGCCGCGUGGGUGAAGAAGGCCUUCGGGUUGUAAAGCCCUUUUGUUGGGAAAGAAAAGCAGCAGGUUAAUACCCCGAUGUUCUGACGGUACCCAAAGAAGAAGCACCGGCUAACUUCGUG
rnacentral:rRNA from 1 species